GUUUUCUUCCCGACCUGAUUGUUUGUAGUGUGGUGGAAUUUAAGACUGUUUUUCUAAAUUUCAGGACCUUGGGAGAUUAGGCCGAGACCUUCAGAGAGUUGUCAUAGUUGAUAAUUCUCCAGCAUCUUAUUCCUUCCAUCCAGACAAUGCUGUAGCAGUAGCAUCGUGGUUUGAUGACUUUUCAGAUACGGAGUUACGUGAUCUUAUUCCAUUUUUUGAAAACCUCAGCAAGAAAGAGAGUGUUUAUUCACUGUUGUCAGCUGUCCAUCCUGUGCCUUCCCACUUUUUGAAUGGUCAACACAUCAUGCCUUUUAAUGUGCCUUCUCCUCCAUCACUAUCAAAGAGUACAAGCCAGCUGACCUCUUAGCAUUGUUAGUGAGACAGUGUAAUGGGUUCUUUUAUACCUUGUAGCUGCUAGUGUCAGCAUAUGGUGUGAUUGGGCAGAAUGAAAACAUUUUGGCAAGUUGUCAUGUUAGCACAAACACAACAUUUUUUUUUCUAGAGAAACUUAUCCUGUCAUCUUGGUUCUGGAAAUGUGCCAACUUUAUAAGGUAAUGCAAACACACGUGUGUUGGGUCCAUGAUGUUUAUUUUGUAUGUUUCAGGCAGUAAGUUGCUGUACACACCUUCCUGACUGAAUUGAAUUGUUUCAUGUUAAUGCUUUUGGAAAUUUUAUCAAAUAUUUUGGUUUGCAUCAUCAUCAUGUAUAUAUAAAAUAGAAAAUAACUUUAGCAUGCAUACUUUUUAGAACUUUGACCCAAAGAGUCCAAUAUUAGUUUCGUGUGUCUUCCCUGGUCAGAUGGUGUCUCACCGAGAGGUAUGUUCCAGCAUAUAAUGUGUGGGGAAAUUUGAUUCAGUAUUUUUUGUAGAAUGCAUGUGUUGAGAAAUACAAUAAAUAUGGGAUCAAAUUUCAUCAUGCUAGCUGGCAUGAACUUUUCUUUCUCUGUGAAACAUGUCCGACUGAGAAGGAUACCUGAACGUGAAGAAACUAGUUUCGAAAUCUUCCUGCCAAAGUUCCAAACAGUGUGGAUUAAUUUUAACUAUUGUAUACAGUAUUAUGACUCAUAUUUAGUAUAGCAUACCUGUUUAUUAGUGUAUUUGUUUGUGGUUUUUUUGGGGGGGUUUGGUGAAAACGUUUUUUUCUUAGGGUUUCUAGUAGUCUUAAUUAUCCUAACACAUGACUUGUUAUGUAAAAAUAACGUCUUUUUUUGUGCACGGUUUGACAAUGGCUGAUAUUUUGUUGACUAUUCUGAAUGUCAAGGUUAGAAACGGCAGCUCUAAGUAAAGUAAAGAGUGGUUUUCUAUAAUAUCCUGAAUUUUUUAAGCUCUGACUAGAACUUAAAAUAUAAUAUAGUAAUUUGGUAAAUAAACAUCCAGCCUAUUUGUUUCAUUUGUGUUUUUUGUUUUCGUAUGUAUAUGUGCUGACAUUUAUAUAGAUAGAUAUUCAAAUAUGUUAAAGCAGUUUGAGUCAAAUAAUUUUAAAAAGUAGGCUCAAAACAUUGUUAGCUGUUACUGAAGUUUAUUAUAAAAUAGGUAAACUAGGAAUAAAUUAGAAUAAGAUUUACUAAUAAUUGUUUAACAAAAUAUUAUUAAAAAACAUUUUUACUGAAAUCUCCAAGCCAAGUUGAAUAUUGAUGUUGUGUUUAACUAGUUACAACUUGUUGUUGUUUUUACAUCCAUUUUUGUCAUUUCUAUGUUGGAUUUAAUUGUUGACAAAGAAUUUAUAAUUUUGUUUGAGUCAAUUCUUAAUAGUAAAGCAUAAUAUGCCAUACAAAUUAAGAAACCUUUAGCCAAUAAAUUGAGGACAAGGGUCCAAGAUAUUCUCUGGAGUAGUUAAAAAAGACAAUGAAAAAGUUUUUAGCACAAGCAGAACUAGUAUUGUUGCAAUGGAACUGCUAUUUGUGAAAAGUUAUAUAGGUUAAAAUAUAUUAUGUUAUGUCAGGUUAUCUAACAGAUUUGAAUAUUGGCUGUAUGCUGCCAAAAAGAACUCUCAGCUAAGAGCCAACAAACAUUCUUGUUAUGGAAAAUAAUAUUUCUACUUGUCUUUAUACAUUUUGGUUGAUUAUGUAUAAACGGUAUAGAUAUAUGUGUGUGUAUAUAAGAAAAUUGUGUAAAUGAUCUUUGGUAUGUUUACGUUAAGUUCAGUAACAGCAGAUAAUGUAAACAUAUACAAGUUUGUUGACUGGUAUAUGGCUAUCUUAAUAUAAAGUUAGAAGUUACAGGCUAGAUAAGUUAAGAAGAAUGGUCUAUUUUGACAAUUCUAUAUUUUUUAUGCACUUUCCGGUACAAAAUUUUGCAGGUAGCUGAAGAUUUCAGUUACUAAUGUGACUGAAGGUUAGCCAAGUUAAAAAGUAGAAUUUAAACAUUUCAACCACAUACUCUCAGUAGAAUGUAAACAUUUCAAACACACUUGUAUCUUGUCUCAGUAGAAUGUAAACGUUUCAGACACGCACUUGUAUCUCGUCUCAGUAGAAUGUAAACGUUUCAGACACGCACUUGUAUCUCGUCUCAGUAGAAUGUAAACGUUUCAGACACUUGUAUCUCGUCUCAGUAGAAUAUAAACGUUUCAAACAUAACUACAUGUGUAGCACAUUCUGAUUUUAUAAGCUAAUUAUAUGGUGUAUUUAGGUCCAAACUGCAGUAAGGUCUAAACCUCGUGUAGCAUAUUCAAGUUUUGUAAUUUAAUUCUAAGGCAUAUUCAGGUUCUGUAAACCAGGUAUGUGGCACAUUUCACAUAGAUACAAACUAUACACAUAAAAUAUUCAGAGUCUGUAACCUGCAUGGCAUGUAUUCAAGUCUGAAAUGUGUAUAUAAUGUAUUCAGGUUCCAUAAACUGUGUAGCAUAGUUAUGUCUGAAAAGUGUAUGUACCAUAUUGCAUAGUAUGUAUUCAGGUUCCAUAAAUUGUGUAGCAUAGUCAGGUCUGAAAAGUGUAUGUAACAUAUUGCAUAGUAUGUAUUCAGGUUCCAUAAACUGUGUAGCAUAGUCAGGUCUGAAAUGUGUAUGUACCAUAUUGCAUAGUAUGUAUUCAGGUUCCAUAAACUGUGUAGCAUAGUUAUGUCUGAAAAGUGUAUGUACCAUAUUGCAUAGUAUGUAUUCAGGUUCCAUAAAUUGUGUAGCAUAGUUAUGUCUGAAAUGUGUAUGUAACAUAUUCGUAUUUCAUGAACUGCAUGGCAUGUAUUUGGUUUAUUUUUUACUUGGCACGUACAACUCUCUCUCUCUCUCCACUGUUUAUUUUUAAAAUUGAAAACUCUGUCAGUAACCACAUUUAUUUUCAAGGUGCUUAAUUAUGUAUGUAACAUAUUUUUGGUUCAUUCACUGUAUACAUUGUUAAGGUUCGGCACAAUAUAACGAAAUGCUUUUUCUCUCAGUAUUACUUGUGUA